CUCCCACAGCGCAAGAAUGUGCCGAGUUACAGCGCAGCAGCAUGGUAAAAGAACAUUCCGGCUCAAUGAGCCUGAGCCACCCAAGCACACCCAGUGAUUAAUGAACCUACUAAUCGGUGGCCAAGCCAGGUUCUUCGUGGACGGUGGGUCCACAAACUCGUCAAGCAGCUUGGCAUUUCGGUGUCACCAGGAAUGGCCUGGAAGGCAUGCACAUUCGGGGUGCAGCCCCGUGGACGACCCGAUUUCUUGCCGAUGUCGCAAACUGAAGACUAAAGACGCCAUGAGAGAUUGAAACAUCGAGACAGCGGGCGCUGUACGCAACCCUGGGCAACCUCUGCUCUCGAGCAAUCUUUCUUUCUUCCUUGUUCGCUGGCGAGUGAGAACCUGCUUGCUCCUGAGUCAGGGGAACUUGAAUAAGUGAUGCUGCAGAUUGGGCUAUCGAAAAGCUAUUGGUCUUCCCUCUCAUUUGUUGCAGGAGUUAUCUUUCUCUCUCUCUCCUCUGGGCUAGAGAGAGAGCCUGCCUGAGAUGUCAAAAGUGUUGGGAAGAACUGUAGUUUUUGAUGGACUCUAUCUCAUGGUCCCUUGGGGCUAUGUAUGAUGGAUGGUGGGGGCUGAUGUUUUUGCUGGAGCACGUGGGAGAAAGGGAGGAGGCUUUGAGGUUGUAAUGUUUUCUGUUAUUCAUUCUUUGGAGUUAUCUCUGUUUCAUGGAUGUCUGUGAAAAGUAACAGGUUGUAUAAUGUACACAUCCUCUGAUAUUAAACUGAACCACUGAAGCAAUGAACACGGUGUUUAUGCCCACAGAACUGUCACUCAUUAUAUAUCAAUUUUUGAGGGGGUGGUUGUUUGCACCAUUCUCUGUAAACUCCAUUGUGCAUGAAAAUCUCAGGAGAUCAGCAGUUUCUGAGAUACUCAAACCACCCCAUCUAGCACCAACAAUCAUUCCACAGUCAAAGCCACUUUUAUCACAUUCCUUCCCCAUUCAGAUGUUUGGUCUGAACAACAGCUGAACCUAUUGACCAUGUCUGCAUGCUUUUAUGUAUUGAGUUGCUGCCACAUGAUUGAC